GCUAGUUGGUGAGGUAAGGGCUCACCAAGGCGACGAUCCCUAGCUGGUCUGAGAGGAUGAUCAGCCACACUGGAACUGAGACACGGUCCAGACUCCUACGGGAGGCAGCAGUGGGGAAUAUUGCACAAUGGGCGCAAGCCUGAUGCAGCCAUGCCGCGUGUAUGAAGAAGGCCUUCGGGUUGUAAAGUACUUUCAGCAGUGAGGAAGGUUCAUACGUUAAUAGCGUAUGGAUUUGACGUUAGCUGCAGAAGAAGCACCGGCUAACUCCGUGCCAGCAGCCGCGGUAAUACGGAGGGUGCGAGCGUUAAUCGGAAUUACUGGGCGUAAAGCGCAUGCAGGUGGUUUGUUAAGUCAGAUGUGAAAGCCCGGGGCUCAACCUCGGAAUUGCAUUUGAAACUGGCAGACUAGAGUACUGUAGAGGGGGGUAGAAUUUCAGGUGUAGCGGUGAAAUGCGUAGAGAUCUGAAGGAAUACCGGUGGCGAAGGCGGCCCCCUGGACAGAUACUGACACUCAGAUGCGAAAGCGUGGG
rnacentral:rRNA from 1 species